rnacentral:rRNA from 1 species
CAGCAGCCACGGGAAUACGAAGGGGGCUAGCGUUGUUCGGAAUUACUGGGCGUAAAGCGCACGUAGGCGGACAUUUAAGUCAGGGGUGAAAUCCCGGGGCUCAACCCCGGAACUGCCUUUGAUACUGGGUGUCUAGAGUAUGGAAGAGGUGAGUGGAAUUCCGAGUGUAGAGGUGAAAUUCGUAGAUAUUCGGAGGAACACCAGUGGCGAAGGCGGCUCACUGGUCCAUUACUGACGCUGAGGUGCGAAAGCGUGGGGAGCAAACAGGAUUAGAGACCCCUGUAGUCCCUGUCUCUUAUAC